rnacentral:rRNA from 1 species
GUGCAGCAGUCGCGAAAACUUUGCAAUACACGAAAGUGUGACAGGGCCAUCCCGAGUGCCGUCCGCUGAGGAUGGCUUUUACCCAGUCUAGAAAGCUGGGGGAAUAAGGAGAGGGCAAGUCUGGUGUCAGCCGCCGCGGUAAUACCAGCUCUCCGAGUGGUGGGGAUGUUUAUUGGGCCUAAAGCAUCCGUAGCUGGCUGGGCAAGUCCCCUGUUAAAUCCACCGAUUUAAUCGUUGGUUUGCGGGGGAUACUGCUCGGCUAGGGGACGGGAGAGGCUGACGGUAUUCCCGGGGUAGGGGUGAAAUCCUAUAAUCCCGGGAAGACCACCAGUGGCGAAGGCUGUCGGCUAGAACGCGCCCGACGGUGAGGGAUGAAAGCUGGGGGAGCGAACCGGAUUAGAUACCCGGGUAGUCC